rnacentral:rRNA from 2 species
UAGUGGCGAACGGGUGAGUAACACGUGGGCAAUCUGCCCUUCACUCUGGGACAAGCCCUGGAAACGGGGUCUAAUACCGGAUGAUACUUCUGCCUGCAUGGGUGGGGGUUGAAAGCUCCGGCGGUGAAGGAUGAGCCCGCGGCCUAUCAGCUUGUUGGUGGGGUGAUGGCCUACCAAGGCGACGACGGGUAGCCGGCCUGAGAGGGCGACCGGCCACACUGGGACUGAGACACGGCCCAGACUCCUACGGGAGGCAGCAGUGGGGAAUAUUGCACAAUGGGCGGAAGCCUGAUGCAGCGACGCCGCGUGAGGGAUGACGGCCUUCGGGUUGUAAACCUCUUUCAGCAGGGAAGAAGCGUGAGUGACGGUACCUGCAGAAGAAGCGCCGGCUAACUACGUGCCAGCAGCCGCGGUAAUACGUAGGGCGCAAGCGUUGUCCGGAAUUAUUGGGCGUAAAGAGCUCGUAGGCGGCUUGUCGCGUCGGAUGUGAAAGCCCGGGGCUUAACUCCGGGUCUGCAUUCGAUACGGGCAGGCUAGAGUGUGGUAGGGGAGAUCGGAAUUCCUGGUGUAGCGGUGAAAUGCGCAGAUAUCAGGAGGAACACCGGUGGCGAAGGCGGAUCUCUGGGCCAUUACUGACGCUGAGGAGCGAAAGCGUGGGGAGCGAACAGGAUUAGAUACCCUGGUAGUCCACGCCGUAAAC